rnacentral:lncRNA from 1 species
AACAGCAGCAAGCAAGCACACUAUAAUGAAUGACUGCUAUGAUGUGUUACAGGACCUACUCUAUGGCCAGGGUCAAAUGUGGCUAACAGUCACCGUCUCAUGAAGUACUGGGAGUUUUCAGUGAAGGGAAGCAUCCAAAACAUGGCAUACACAAUGGUUUCCUAGUACUGUCCCCACUGACCACUUAGCAUAUGUGACUGUCCCCAUGCAGGAGGUUGUCAUGAGCGCUUCACAGGACAGUGGUGAGCAUCCUGAGGGUGCAGGCUGAGGAAGGAUCUGAGCAUUGGAAAGAACGCCUCCUCUUCACCACAUAGUCCGCCACCAUAGAAUUUACUUCCCACCGAUCGUAACUGGAAAUAAAUCUCUAAGAGGAAAGGAGUGCCACAUACAACGUGUGUAUUUGUCUUCAGACUGGAAAUAUCGCAGAGGGACUCUGUGCAGUGCAUCGUUACACA